GGACAGGCUGUAGCUCAGUGGUAGAGCAUCUGCUUUGCAUGCAGAAGGUCCCAGAUUCAAUCCCUGGCAUGUCCA